AAAAAAAAAGAGGAAAUUCAAUUACAGGGAGAGGGAUGCUGAACAUGUGUGGAAAUAGAAGGUGAUUUCUCCCUUUCUCUCCCAAACUGCUAUUCAACUGGCCUGGAGGUCAAAGAUCUUUAACUAGAUGAAAAACCUGUUCUGGGAACAAGCCAGCCUGACUGCCUGGUUACAGAGCAGGGACCUACUCUCAAGAUGUUUCUCCAUUCCAGACAACAGCCAACCUAUUGCCUGCCUUAGCAAUAUGGAAAUUUAAUCAGGCUCUCUCUGCUGGCCCUGAGAAGGGAAACAAGGUAUUUUCUCCUUUAAAAUGCUUUUGAUCUUUGAUUCAGACCGACCAUAGUUUUCAUUGAAAGAAUAAUCAUCAACUUUCAGCACAGCUGGUCACUCUGCUUCUCUGGCUGGUCAGGGAAAGUAUUAUUAUUAGAAAUUUUCUCCAGGCUCCAAGGGGGAAAGAGCAGUGAUUUGUUCUACUGUUCAGGGCAUAAAAGGAAGGAGGCUCUGUAAAAUGGGAAAGCUUCUGGUCUUUGACUCAGAAAAUUCAGAUUUGAGUUCUGGCUUUGCUGCUUCUUAAUUGUGGGACUUCAAGUAAUUCAUUUGAGAUUUCUGACCAAUCAUCAAAAUCCAGUGGCAAGACAAAAGUUGAGAAGACUGACAAUGACAUGAGAUGCAGUGGAUAGCCUUGGUGUCUUCCAUGUAUGAGUAAAUUCUAAGCACUCCCCAGGACCUGCUUUAGCUGCUUUCUAGGCCAUAGGAACAACUGUUCUCACCUGUGUAUUCUGCUAGAAGUCUUUGCAGGCUUGGGGUAGACAUCCUUAUAACUCACUGACAGAUUUGAGUCCUGUUGGUUACCUGCAAUCUUGACCACCUAUAGCUUCUUGGAGCCACAGGUGAGAGUUGAGUGCUACAGAGACACCAAAGGUGGUGAACCCCCCCCCCCCCACCAGAAGUAUAUGAACACCAUAUACCCUGAAAAUGAACUGCCUUCCAAAACAGACCUUUCCACUUUAGAAUAACUUUGGUAUUUAAGACAUUUUUCUUAUAUCAAGUCAAAAUUUGAAUCACUUGAAAAUAUAUAUAUAUAUAUAUAUAUACACACACUCAUGUUUUGCCAUUAGGUGUUAAAUGCUAAAUAAAUACCUAACAGGAUCUAUGUUGAGCAAAUGUGAAGCAAUUCUGUGUAGGGGAAGACAUCAGGCCCAAAGGGGAACUAGGAAUGGUUUCUUACUGAAGAUGAGAUUUGAGAUGAGUCUUAGAGAAAAUAAAAAAAUGCAUAUAUAUAUAUAUAUAUAUAUAUAUAUAUAUAUCACAUUCACAGUACAUACAUCCAUGCAAGCAUAUAUACACUUGUGUAUAUAUCCCAUACAUAUGCAUACAUGUAUAUGUGCACACAUGCAUUCAUGUAUACAUACAUGUGUAUAAUGCCUGUGUAUGACACACAUAUAUGUCUGUGGGUAUGCAGGCAUUGGGUUCAGCCAGUGGAAGGACACAGGCUUCCUGUGGAAAUGGGGAAAUAGAAAUGCUAAGGUAGAUAGAGAGGAAUAAGCCAUAAGAAAUCUGGAAAGGUAGGAAGUGGUCUGAUUAUAAAGAGCUUUAAAUACCAAAUAGAAGACUUUACAUCUAAUUUUGAAGAAAAUAAUUGUUGCUCAUGAGCAAGAGAUAUGACAUGGUCAUCCCCUUCAGACUUAUAUCUUAGAAAAGCUCUGUUUUUUUUCCUUUCACUUGAGCAACAAACAAAGCUCCUAGCUAGUUUGUGUCAGCUUCUUUGGCAGUUAGUUGGGUUUUGGGAGAGAGAGAAAAAAAAAGUCUGAUUCCCUUUCAUGCAUAAAAUACCAUUCCCUUCUCUCCCAAGACACACUCAGUCUUCGACCAGGACACAGCUCCAGGCUGCCACAAAAAUUCCAAUGUUCCUUUUCCUGCUCCCUAAAGAGGGAGCAAGGAAGGGUUGAUGAAGUAGGAGCAGGAGAGAGAUUGGAGGUUUGGGAUGGAUCUCCUGACACUUACAGAAAUGCCCUUGAAUGAAGGAGAGCAAUCCAGGAGCCCAGAGGAAACAAAUGUUAUCAUAGUGAAGUUAUUCAUAACAUUUUUUACUUUGCUAUUUGCUGCAUGCAUUAUGAGGCUUAAAUAAUUCAGUGCAUAUGUCCUAAAUAUUGGUCUGGUGAAUGGUAAUGGCUCCAUCACCUACAAAAUAAGACUAUUUAACUGCUCCUCUUGGCAGGCAAAACGGUGCCUUAAACAUUUUGAUGUGAUGAACAAGGCAUUUUGGAAAUGAAAACACCAGCACUAGUUAUACUUUCCCUGUUGGUUUUGUAGGAUAGAAAAGAAAGAACAUUCUCAUUCUCUCUUGCCCAAGACACAGACAGAAUGACCUUUCCCUGGUGCAUUUAUUGUCCUAUUUGGCAGAAGUAAUUUCAGUAAUAGGGUGCUAGUGAGUUGUACAAAGCAGACUUUAAGCCAAAAGCUCUUCUCCCUCCAAUAUUCAGAUAGAUCAGCUUCCCCACAGUCCUUUCUCCCAAAAUAUGUAGCAUGGGAGAGAUGUUAAAAGGACAGUAUGUUAUCUCCCUGGCCAGGAAGGCCAGCCAGUGAUGAGUCUUAAUUGUGUGGACAGGCUGAAUCAGGUUUUUGGGGGAAAUGAGACCAUUCUGCCAAGAAGCUUAUGGCUAUUUGGGACGGCUAUUUGGGACAUCUCCUUGGGAUAGAGUACCUGGAGUCAAGAAAACCUGAGUUCAGAUCUGGCCACAGACAUUUGUGUGACAUGGGGCAAGUCACUUAGCCUCUGUCUCAGUUUCUACAAGUAUAAAAUGGGAAUAAUCAUAACAAAAACAAGAAAACCACCACCUAACUCCAAUGGUUUUUGUGAAGGUAAAUGGCUCCAGUCCAGUCUGUCUGUCCCCACAUACCUGGGAUGUUCUCCCUUUUUUGAUUUCCUUGGUUUCCUUUAAGUCUCAAAUAAAAGCUCACCUUGAACCUUCCUCAAUUCUUCUUAAUUCUAGUGCCUUCCCUCUAUUAAUGAAUUCCUAUUUGCCCAGUACAUAGCUUGCUUUGUAUAUAUUUGUUUGAGGGCAGUGACUGUCAUGCCUCUUUUUGUAUCCCAUGUUUACCAUAGUGCUUGGAACAAAGUAGGCUCUAUUUUCAUGCUGUUGCUUCUUCUCCUCUUCCUCCUCCUCCUCUUCCUUCUCUUCCUCCCCCUCUU